rnacentral:rRNA from 1 species
AAUAGAUACCCUGGUAGUCCACGCCGUAAACGAUGAGUGCUAAGUGUUAGAGGGUUUCCGCCCUUUAGUGCUGCAGCUAACGCAUUAAGCACUCCGCCUGGGGAGUACGGCCGCAAGGCUGAAACUCAAAGGAAUUGACGGGGGCCCGCACAAGCGGUGGAGCAUGUGGUUUAAUUCGAAGCAACGCGAAGAACCUUACCAGGUCUUGACAUCCUCUGCUAACCCUAGAGAUAGGGCGUUCCCCUUCGGGGGACAGAGUGACAGGUGGUGCAUGGUUGUCGUCAGCUCGUGUCGUGAGAUGUUGGGUUAAGUCCCGCAACGAGCGCAACCCUUGACCUUAGUUGCCAGCAUUCAGUUGGGCACUCUAAGGUGACUGCCGGUGACAAACCGGAGGAAGGUGGGGAUGACGUCAAAUCAUCAUGCCCCUUAUGACCUGGGCUACACACGUGCUACAAUGGAUGGUACAAGGGCUGCGAGACCGCGAGGUUAAGCCAAUCCCAUAAAACCAUUCUCAGUUCGGAUUGCAGG